AUUGUCUUAUGGGAGGCAGCAGUGGGGAAUCUUGCGCAAUGGCCGAAAGCCUGACGCAGCGACGCCGCGGGGGGGAUGACGGCCUUCGGGUUGUAAACCCCUGUUNCCCGGGACGAACAUCGUCUUUCGAGUGGACUGACGGUACCGGGUGAGGAAGCACCGGCUAACUCUGUGCCAGCAGCCGCGGUAAUACAGAGGGUGCGAGCGUUGUCCGGAAUCACUGGGCGUAAAGGGCGCGUAGGUGGUGCUGUGAGCUCGCGGUGAAAGCUCGAGGGUCAACCUCGAGUCGGCCGUGCGAACUGGUCGACUCGAGCAGAGUAGGGGCAGGUGGAAUUCCGGGUGUAGCGGUGGAAUGCGGAUAGAUCAGGAAGCACACCGGUCUGCGAAGGCGGGCUCCCGGGCUGUGGCGGGGGGCGCCGGGGG
rnacentral:rRNA from 1 species